UACGAAGGGUGCAAACGUUGCUCGGAAUUAUUGGGCGUAAAGAGCUCGUAGGCGGUUUGUUGCGUCGGCUGUGAAAUCCCGAGGCUCAACCUCGGGUCUGCAGUCGAUACGAGCAAACUAGAGUGUUGCAGGGGAGACUGGAAUUCCUGGUGUAGCGGUGAAAUGCGCAGAUAUCAGGAGGAACACCGGUGGCGAAGGCGGGUCUCUGGGCAACAACUGACGCUGAGGAGCGAAAGCGUGGGGAGCGAACAGG
rnacentral:rRNA from 1 species